GUCGAGCCUAGGUCGGCCACCCGAAAAAACCGGACACCUUCAUCGGCUGGCUCGGCGUUUUUCGUGAAGG
rnacentral:sRNA from 18 species